rnacentral:rRNA from 1 species
UACGGGGGGAGCAAGCGUUGUUCGGAUUUACUGGGCGUAAAGGGCGCGUAGGCGGCCACCGCAAGUCAGUUGUGAAAUCUCUGGGCUUAACCCAGAACGGUCAGCUGAUACUGCGGGGCUAGAGUGCAGAAGGGGCAACUGGAAUUCUCGGUGUAGCGGUGAAAUGCGUAGAUAUCGAGAGGAACACCUGCGGCGAAGGCGGGUUGCUGGGCUGACACUGACGCUGACAGCGCGAAAGCCAGGGGAGCAAACGGG